GACGAACGCUGGCGGCGUGCUUAACACAUGCAAGUCGAACGGAAAGGCCCUGCUUUUGUGGGGUGCUCGAGUGGCGAACGGGUGAGUAACACGUGAGUAACCUGCCCUUGACUUUGGGAUAACUUCAGGAAACUGGGGCUAAUACCGGAUAGGAGCUCCUGCUGCAUGGUGGGGGUUGGAAAGUUUCGGCGGUUGGGGAUGGACUCGCGGCUUAUCAGCUUGUUGGUGGGGUAGUGGCUUACCAAGGCUUUGACGGGUAGCCGGCCUGAGAGGGUGACCGGCCAAAUUGGAACUGGGAUACGGCCCAGACUCCAAGGGGAGGCAGCGGGGGGAAAUAUUGCACAAUGGCCGGAGGCCGGAUGCGGAAACGCGGCGUGCGGAAUGACGGCCUUCGGGUUGAAAACCGCUUUCGCCUGGAACAAGGCGUAGGUAACGGUAAUGGGUAAGGAAGAACCGGCUAACUACGU
rnacentral:rRNA from 1 species